UAAUAGCGUAUAUUAAAGUUGUUGCAGUUAAAAAGCUCGUAGUCGGAUGUCGGGCUCGGGCAGGCUGUCGGCUUCGGUCGGACGGCAGGCUCGGGUCUUUCUGCCUGAGGAUCCAUCUCAUUCACUUGGGGUGGGGACGCAGGCCGUUUACUUUGAAAAAAUUAGAGUGUUCAAAGCAGGCCUACGCUUGAAUACAUUAGCAUGGAAUAAUGGAAUAGGACUUUGGUGCUAUUUUGUUGGUUUAUGGGACCGAAGUAAUGAUUAACAGGGACAGUUGGGGCCGUUUAUAUUUCGUUGUCAGAGGUGAAAUUCUUGGAUUUACGAAAGAUAAACUUCUGCGAAAGCAUUCGGCAAGGAUGUUUNCAUUG
rnacentral:rRNA from 1 species